rnacentral:lncRNA from 1 species
GACCAAAGCAAGUAGAGUAGCCUGUAUGGACAUUCAAAUUGAAGGCUGAAUCUGCUGGUAUCGUGGUGCUCUGACUCUUCUCUCUGCUCUUGGCAGCAUCUUUCCUUGCUCCAUGAGGUGUCAUGAACAUCCCGGGACUCCUCACUCCUGAAUACCACCAUUACAGCUUUGGAUAUCACUUCCUCUAACCCAGCAUGCUAGCUUUUCUUCUUCCCAGAAUCCUCCUCCAAUACUCUGUGAUGCAAAAACACAGCAUGGCAGACACAUUAAUUUCAGAGGAAAAUGGAGUCCUGGAAAUUUGUCCCAAUGCAACAUCACUGUUUGGACCCAUUCUGGGAAAUCCAAUCUGUUCCCCUUGGAUACUUGUCUGUAGCACACAGAAUAUUACAGUUGGAAGGUACCUCACAAGUCAUCUCAUUCAAGUUCUUCAUUCUACAGAUGAAGAAACUGAGGCCCAGAGCUAAGGAACUCGCCCAAGGUCAUCCAGCAAGUUAGUAGCAGAACUGUGCUCCAAAUCCAGGUCUACUGAUGAUGGAUUCAUUGUUUUUCUCUCUAAACCACUACAACAAUCCUAUGAAGUGGCUAGUACAAGAAUUAUUAUCCCCAUUUUAAAGACGAGGUAACUAAGAUUCAGAGAGGGUUAACCCAAAUUGAAUUUUCAUUAUGCUCUGUUUUGACCGUUACUUUCCCAUAUCUGCACUUUUGCUCCUACAUGAAUUCCUAAGCCUGAAAUUUCUUCCAACCUACUCAUCCUUUUUUUUUUGUCUUCAACAAAUAUUUAUUGAACAGCCAAUACAUACUUAAAGAGAAGAAAAGAGAAGAAGGCAUUCUUCUCCAUUCUUCCAAUAGAGUUGGAAAGGGGGCAAGAAUGGGAAUGAACAGAUAAUGCAAACAGAUGAACAGAGAAGGGAGGUGCUCAUCCCACCUGGCAAUGGCUACCCUCUCUACCCUAGGGCAGGAUGGCAAGAUGAGCAUCCACUGAGCUCACCCGGAUGUUUGAGCAAGGAAGGUCUGUACACAUACCCACCCUCUGGUAUGUUUGCUUUUGUGCUUGGCAAGCUGGAUGUCUGCGCCAUCCUGGUGCAGUCCUUGGGACUGGGAGUUCUGAUGCUCAUCUCAUAUAUAACUCAGAGCAUAACUCCCAACCUGUUCCUCCAGGGUGAAAACCAAACAAUGUGGUUGCACCAGUCUCUUUUUCGUAAGGUAGCCCUCCUACCUUUUUUUUUGGAGAGAGGAGAGGUAAACAAAUCUCAAAUUCUAAUUUAGAAUAGCUGUACCCCAUUCCCCUCCCCCAGUGAAGGUCUAGCCAGACUGAAGCUGGGGCCCUGAACCUUCUCCUACUCCCACUUUUCACCCAGUUUUUCCUGGGGACUAGACAGCAGGGGUAAGAUUCUCUCAUGAAUCAGGACUCAGGAAUUCAUAAUCACUAAGGUGUUCCUGUCCAGCAUGGACCAGGACUAGGAUUCCAUCCCAUAUCAGAUACUUCCUAGCUACGCCUCUUAAGC